rnacentral:tRNA from 1 species
UCCCUGAUAGCUCAGUUGGUAAAGAAUCUGCCUGCAAUGCAGGAGACCCUGGUUCAAUUCCUGGGUCCGGAA